CAUGCAAGUCGAACGGAAUAAUGACUUCGGUUGUUAUUUAGUGGCGGAAGGGUUAGUAAUACAUAGAUAAUCUGUCCUCAACUUGGGAAUAACGGUUGGAAACGACCGCUAAUACCGAAUGUGGUAUGUUUAGGCAUCUAAAACAUAUUAAAGAAGGGGAUCUUCGGACCUUUCGGUUGAGGGAGAGUCUAUGGGAUAUCAGCUUGUUGGUGGGGUAAUGGCCUACCAAGGCUUUGACGUCUAGGCGGAUUGAGAGAUUGACCGCCAACACUGGGACUGAGACACUGCCCAGACUUCUACGGAAGGCUGCAGUCGAGAAUCUUUCGCAAUGGACGAAAGUCUGACGAAGCGACGCCGCGUGUGUGAUGAAGGCUCUAGGGUUGUAAAGCACUUUCGCUUGGGAAUAAGAGAGAUUGGCUAAUAUCCAAUCGAUUUGAGCGUACCAGGUAAAGAAGCACCGGCUAACUCCGUGCCAGCAGCUGCGGUAAUACGGAGGGUGCUAGCGUUAAUCGGAUUUAUUGGGCGUAAAGGGCGUGUAGGCGGAAAGGAAAGUUAGAUGUUAAAUCUUGGGGCUCAACCCCAAGCCAGCAUCUAAUACUAUCUUUCUAGAGGGUAGAUGGAGAAAAGGGAAUUCCACGUGUAGCGGUGAAAUGCGUAGAUAUGUGGAAGAACACCAGUGGCGAAGGCGCUUUUCUAAUUUACACCUGACGCUAAGGCGCGAAAGCAAGGGGAGCAAACAGGAUUAGAUACCCUGGGUAGUCCA
rnacentral:rRNA from 1 species